rnacentral:rRNA from 1 species
UACUAAGGGGGCUAGCGUUGCUCGGAAUCACUGGGCGUAAAGGGUGCGUAGGCGGGUUUUUAAGUCAGGGGUGAAAUCCUGGAGCUCAACUCCAGAACUGCCUUUGAUACUGAAGAUCUUGAGUCCGGGAGAGGUGAGUGGAACUGCGAGUGUAGAGGUGAAAUUCGUAGAUAUUCGCAAGAACACCAGUGGCGAAGGCGGCUCACUGGCCCGGUACUGACGCUGAGGCACGAAAGCGUGGGGAGCAAACAGG